UACGAGGGGGGCAAUUGUUGUUCGGAAUCACUGGGCGUAAAGGGAGCGUAGGCGGGUUUCUAAGUCAGGUGUUUAAUCCCGGGGCCCAACCCCGGGCAGGCACUUGAAACUGGGAAUCUUGAAUAGUGGAGAGGUCAGUGGAAUUGGGGGUGUAGUGGUGAAAUGCGUAGAGAUCGGGAGGAACACCCGUAGCGAAGGCGGCCGACUGGGCCACACCUGACGCUGAGGCGCGAAGGCCAGGGGAGCGAACGGG
rnacentral:rRNA from 1 species